GCAUCAGUAGUGCAACGAGUUAGAGCACACACUCCUAGAUAGAGUGAGAUGUGGGUUCGAGUCCCGCCUAACGCG